rnacentral:rRNA from 1 species
UACGUAGGGCGCAAGCGUUGUCCGGAAUUAUUGGGCGUAAAGAGCUCGUAGGCGGUCUGUCGCGUCCGUUGUGAAAACUCGAGGCUCAACCUCGGGCUUGCAGUGGAUACGGGCAGACUAGAGUGCGGUAGGGGAGAUUGGAAUUCCUGGUGUAGCGGUGGAGUGCGCAGAUAUCAGGAGGAACACCGAUGGCGAAGGCAGGUCGCUGGGCAUUAACUGACGCUGAGGAGCGAAAGCAUGGGGAGCGAACAGG